rnacentral:lncRNA from 1 species
GGUGGGUUGCUGAGGGCGGGUGUGGGGGGGGGGCUUGACGGUCACUCCCUGGAGAAGUCCACCCACUCAGCCCUGGGAGCCAAGUGCCGAUGUGUAAUCACUGGUGAAUCUGGCAACGUUGCCAUCUGGGCUUGGCUUGGCUCCAGGGCCAGGAGAUACGAUUGCACAGAAACAGGUGGGAUCAGCUGAGUGCCCUGGGAGGCUUCCUCCUUCGGUCUGUUCGGGGGCACUGAGGCAGUGGGUUCUAGGAGCCCGGCUCCGUGAAUUCGAAUGUGCUGGCACAUCCUGCGGUGGAGGGGAAGCAGUAGAGGACUUCCCUCCACUCACUCUCAACCUGCUGAUGAAGGAAGUAAUGGGCUCUGAAGGAAAUCAACAUUCCAGGAUGAUAUUGUAUUGUGUGCAUCCUGCAAUGCUCUAGAACCUUUGGCAUCAUCUGCCUGUCACAGUCACCACUCCUCCUCCGUUUCAAAGGCAUAGGUGCCUGAGAAAGCAUGACCACAGUGCCUGGUGCUUGGUAAGACCUCUUUAUUUUUCAAUUUGUUUUUAAAUCAUAUAAUUCAAGUUUUUAAGUUGCGUGUUUUUUUUUUUUAAAUUGAAGUAUAGUUGAUCCACAAUGUUGCAUUAGUUUCGGGUGUACAACAUAAUGACUGGACAAUUCUGUAUGUUAUAGAAUCCUAUGCUCCCCACAGUGUGGCUACCAUCUGUCCCCAUCCAGCACUAUUACAAUAUCAUUGACUAUAUUCCUCAUGCUGUACAUUUCAUCUCCCUGACUUAUUCAUUCUGUAACUGAAGGCCUGCAACUCCUACCUCCCUUCACUCCUUUUUGCCCAUCCCUCCAUUCCCUGCCUGCUGGCAACCACCAGUGUGUUCUCUGUAUUAUGGGUCUGUUUCCAGGUAAGACCUCUUUAAUGUUGCUUGAAAAUAAUGUCUGGAGUAAAGGCUGAAGAGGUCAGUAGGUAAAGGGAUCCUUGGAGAACACCUGUUUGCCCUUCCUCCGCCCCCAGACCUGCUGCCCCUCUGUUUUGAUGUGGUUCCACCCCCACCCCUGGGGGCCAGGCACUUGCUGCUUAUUGAGUUUGUCAGCAUUUCCCCCAUGGAUCUCAGACUGACUAAUUAGCCUACCCUGCCUGAUUGCUGAAGCCACAGGGCACUGCCAGACCAGCACUUUUCCACAUGGCAUCUGCUGAGACAAAGCAGGGCUGAGCCUUUAACCCUGUCUUGUCUACAUUGUAUGAGUAGGAAUGAGCUCGCAUGGAGGUGGAUGUGGGUUCUGCUCCUAGAGACUGUAGAUAUUUCUCUGGAUGGUCAGAGAUGGUCAGAAUGCUUGUAAAGACUUAAGCCAAAGAUUCUCAUCAAUAGAGCAGAUAAUUUAGGGGGAGGGUGGCAUCUGGUAAUUGAAAUUCUUAUUCUCAGUUCAGUGCAAAUUUUAUCAAUAAUUUCUUACCAUCUAGCUUGGUAAGUUUGAAGGAAAUCAGUCAGUCAAAAAAAGUCCAAGCUGAGGAUCAGAGCUCUCUCUUCCUCUCUCUUGGAUUUUCUGUUUCCUCAGGCCGUCACAGCCUGGGGUUAACAGUGGGUCAUGUCACCAGUAAU